rnacentral:rRNA from 1 species
GUGGGGAAUCUUAGACAAUGGGGGAAACCCUGAUCUAGCCAUGCCGCGUGAGCGAUGAAGGCCUUAGGGUUGUAAAGCUCUUUCAGCUGGGAAGAUAAUGACUGUACCAGCAGAAGAAGCCCCGGCUAACUCCGUGCCAGCAGCCGCGGUAAUACGGAGGGGGCUAGCGUUGUUCGGAAUUACUGGGCGUAAAGCACACGUAGGCGGACCGGAAAGUCAGAGGUGAAAUCCCAGGGCUCAACCUUGGAACUGCCUUUGAAACUCCUGGUCUUGGGGUCGAGGGAGGUGAGUGGAAUUCCGGGUGUAGAGGUGAAAGUCGUAGGUAUUCGGAGGAACACCAGUGGCGAAGGCGGCUCACUGGCUCGAUACUGACGCUGAGGUGCGAAAGCGUGGGGAGCAAACAGGAUUAGAAACCCCGGUAGUCC